rnacentral:misc_RNA from 1 species
CCAGGAACCAAACAGCAAAUUAUUUUGCCAGACGCCAAUAGAACCUAGAAAACAACCAUUUGGCUAGUUCAAGUCAAUAUACCUUUAUCUUAGACAACAUUAACAACAAAAGCAAUUAUUUCCCUUUCUUGGUCCUAUAUUUCCUCAGCAACCAAACAGGAAAUUCUACCGUUAACACAUCCAACUUCAAAAUAUUAAUAACCAACAGCUAUAACUACGUAGUCCAGACAUAAGUUUGAAAAUGCUCAAAUUCCACGAACAACAAUCUCAAUGAACAAAUACAACUUCUCAUUGUCCAAGUCCACCUUAACACAAACACAAUCCCCCACCCCUUAAGUUGCCUCAACGAAAAAAAUUACUAAAAAGUUAGAACUUCCAUUAAUUUGAGCUGAUCAAGGAGCAAGAGAGAUAAUAACCUGAAAAUUU